CGGAGCGUGGCUCAGCCUGGUAGAGCGCUGCGUUCGGGACGCAGAGGUCGGAGGUUCAAAUCCUCUCGCUCCGA
rnacentral:tRNA from 1 species